rnacentral:lncRNA from 1 species
ACAACAACAACAACAACAACAAAGCCUUUUCCCACUAAGUGGGGUCGGCUAUAUGAAUCCUAGAACGCCAUUGCGCUCGGUUUUGUGUCAUGUCCUCCGUUAGAUCCAAGUACUCUAAGUCUUUUCUUAGAGUCUCUUCCAAAGUUUUCCUAGGUCUUCCUCUACCCCUUCGGCCCUGAACCUCUGUCCCGUAGUCACAUCUUCGAACCGGAGCGUCAGUCGGCCUUCUUUGCACAUGUCCAAAUCACCAGAGCCGAUUUUCUCUCAUCUUUCCUACAAUUUCGGCUACUCCUACUGUACCUCGGAUAUCCUCAUUCCCAAUCUUAUCCUUUCUCGUGUGCCCACACAUCCCACGAAGCAUCCUUAUCUCCGCUACACCCAUUUUGUGUACGUGUUGAUGCUUCACCACCCAACAUUCUCUGCCAUACAACAUCGCUGGCCUUAUUGCCGUCCUAUAAAAUUUUCCCUUGAGCUUCAGUGGCCUACGACGGUCACACAACACGCCGGAUGCACUCUUUCCAUCCAGCUCGUAUUCUAUGGUUGAGAUCUCCAUCUAAUUCUCCGUUCUCUUGCAAGAUAGAUCAUAGGUAACGAAAACGGUCGCUUUUUGUGAUCUUCGCUAGAUUGCUCCGGUCAUUAGUGUGGAUAAGUAUAUAAAUGGAUAGAGAUAGGAAAGCAAACACAAGAUGUACGUGGUUCACCCAGAUUGGCUACGUCCACGGAAUAGAAGAGUUCUCAUUAAUUGUGAAGGGUUUACACAAGUACAUAGGUUCAAGCUCUCCUUUAGUGAGUACGAGUGAAUGAUUUAGUACAAAUGACAUUAGGAAAUAUUGUGGGAGAAUGAUCUCGUAAUCACGAAACUUCUAAGUAUCGGAGUGUGGUGUCGUCUUGACUUGCCUUAUCUGUCUCAUAGGUAGAUGUGGCAUCUUCUCUGGAAGUACUCUUCCUCCAUCCAGGGGUGGUAUCUUUAACUGGUGGAGAUGCACAAGGUAAUGUAUCAAUUUCACUUGAAGCUUACUUGUAGUUUCAGGCUUGGUCAAGCGCGAUACAAACCAUGUAGUAGGAGUCCCCCAAGUCGCCGAGCUAGGGGGUCUGCUGAAAGAGGUGACAGACAAGGUAAGCAAUCAGAGCUCCGACUGAUUGUUCACCUUCUCCCCAUCUUGCAGCAGCAUGAAGGAUAAAGAGAAGAAAAAUGAGAAGAGAUGAUAUGAGAUACUUUUGCUUUUGAAGAAGUAACUUUCCACAGGCUUAUUCUUGAACUGAGCUGGAGGGUUUUCUGGUUUCCUCCAGAGUAUAAGGCCGACUGAAGAAUUUUGAGGGUCAAAAACAAGUCCAUCAAAUCUAGAGUACGUUCCACCCUGCUGAUAUGGGAUACUUUUUCUUUUGACAGAGUAAUGGAUGUAUCGGCACGUGUGCUGUUACGCUUGUCUCCACAUGCUUCCUUGUAUCCUUCGCACUUGCCCUAUCUGUUCCUCAAGCAGAUGCGGAAUCUUCCCUGGAAACAUAAGAUGUUGAAGAUGAGUACUCGAGAGCAAUGCCAGGUAAGUAAUCAGGUAAGGGGUUCCAGGCAGUCAGUUCCUGGCUGGAAGCUUGAUUCCAAGUGCUGACUGAUUGCUCUCUUUCUCCUUGUCUUGCAGGUAAAAACAAGGCCAAAAGAAAAAACAGGGAAAAAGCAUGAUAUGGGAUACUCUUGCUUUUAACCCUGAUGAUAUGAGAUAUUCUUGCUCUAGUAUAGCUUGUUUGCAGAGGUAUUAUCGGGGGGAAAGAAAGCUGAAUAUUUCGAAAGGCUUUGUUGGGAGUGCCCUCUCAGAUAUGAUGAAGGGUUGAGCAUUUUUGCAGGUCUGCCUGUCCGUUGGGGAUGGAGGUCGACAUAUAUAGGAGUCUCCCUAACAACAAGUAGUAAUGCUAUUCCUUUACCCUGCUUGGUCAUAGCACGGUAGUGGGAGCUGCCAGUUUCACAUGUUUUAACUCUGUCAGAGCACUUUGAAAAAGUGGUCUGUGGUAUCUGGCUCUCGAGAUUCGGAGAACGAUGCCUCUUCGAUUUUUGAGAAAGCAAUCAUGUUGGGGGUCUGACUCUCGAGAUUCGGAGAGCAGUGUCUCUUCGAUUUUUGAGGAAGUAAUCAUGUUGGGAGUCUGGCUCUCGAGAUUCGGAGGGCGGUGCCUCUUCGAUUUUGGAGCAAGCAAUCUUGUUGGGAGUGUUGUCUCGAAUGUGAGUAAAGGUUGGACAUGUUUGCUAGUCUACCUUGCCACGAAGCACAAAGGUUGACACAUAGGGACUUUCCAAUUAUCCAGCAAUGGUACUGUUCCUUUACCCUCUCUUCGAUUUUGAGAAAGUAGUCAUGUUGGGAGUCUGGCUCUCGAGAUUCGGAGGACGGUGCCUCUUCGAUUUUUGGAGCAAGCAAUCUUGUUGGGACUGUUUUCUCGAAUGUGAGUAAAGGUUGGGCAUGUUUGCUAGUCUACCUUGCCACGAAGCAUAGAGGUUGACACACAGGGACUUUCCAAUUAUCCAGCAGUGGUACUGUUCCUUUACCCUUGUGGGUAAUAAUAUGGUAGCUAGACCUUCAAAAUUUAUGUGUCUAAACUUUGUUAGUGCUGUUUCUUUGCUAUUCUUUUUACCUUUCUUGGUCAGAGCGAUGUAGUGGGAGCUGCAAGCUUCACGUGCUCAACUUUGGCAGAGAACUUUGGCAAAGUGAUCUGUGGUACCCAUGAGUUAUUGUUGCGUGUGGGAAGUGGGUGAUUGAACAGUAAGAUUCAUGUGCUUUCUACUUCACCAGAAGUCUUCGACAGAAUGCCCAUAAUUUCUGCAAAGCUGAGUGUGCGUGUGACAGGUGCUGACAAGGCUAGAAAAGUAGGUGCCUCUUUGAUUUCUGAGAUCGGCCCUCGUGGUCUCUGAGCAGCCCAGCUUUUGAGAAAGCGAGCGCCUCUUCGAUUGAUUCGGAGAACGGUGCCUCACCGAUUUUUGAGAAAGCAAUCAUGUUGGGGGUCUGGCUCUCGAGAUUCGGGGAGCAGUGUCUCUUCGAUUUUUGAGAAAGUAAUAAUGUUGGGAGAGUGGCUCUCAAGAUUCGGAGGGCGGUGCCUCUUCGAUUUUGGAGCAAGCAAUCUUGUUGGGAGUGUUUUCUCGAAUGUGAGUAAAGGUUGGGCAUGUUUGCUAGUCUACCUUGCCACGAAGCACAGAGGUUGACACACAGGGACUUUCCAAUUAUCCAGCAAUGGUACUGUUCCUUUACCCUCUCUUCGAUUUUUAAGAAAGUAGUCAUGUUGGGAGUCUGGCUCUUUAGAUUCGGAGGACGGUGCCUCUUCGAUUUUGGAGCAAGCAAUCUUAUUGGGAGUGUUUUCUCGAAUGUGAGUAAAGGUUGGGCAUGUUUGCUAGUCUACCUUGCCACGAAGCACAGAGGUUGACAUACAUGGACUUUCCAAUUAAUCCAGCAGUGGUACUGUUCCUUUACCCUUGUGGGUAAUAAUAUGGUAGCUAGACCUUCAAAAAUUUAUGGGUCUAAACUUUGUUAGUGCUGUUUCUUUUGCUAUUCUUUUACCCUUCUUGGUCAGAGCGAUGUAGUGGGAGCUGCAAGCUUCACGUGCUCAACUUUGGCAGAGAACUUUGGCAAAGUUAUCUGUGGUACCCAUGAGCUAUUGUUGCGUGUGGGAAGUGGGUGAUUGAACAGUAAGAUUUCAUGUGUUUUUCUACUUCCCCAGAAGUCUUUGACAGAAUGCCCAUAAUUUCCGCAAAGCUGAGUGUGCGUGUGACAGGUGCUGACAAGGCUGGAAAAGUAGGUGCCUCUUCGAUUUCUGAGAUCGGCCCUCGUGGUCUCUAGGGAGCCUAGCUUUUGAGAAAGCGAGCGCCUCUUCGAUUUCUGAGAUCGGCCUUCGUGGUCUUUGAGCAGCCCAACUUUUGAGAAAGCAAACGGCUCUUCGAUUUCUGAGAUCAACCCUCGUGAUCUCUAAGCAGCCCAACUUUUUGAGAAAGCAAACGCCUCUUCGAUUUCUGAGCAGGCGCCUCUUUGAUUUCUGAAGCUCCGUCGAGUGCAGAUUUUUAUAGGGGCUGGCAUUAAGUUCCAAAGCACACUUGAAUCUCCACCAGUAGAAGCUUCAUUCUUGCACUUCUAAGAUCUUGAUUUGUCCGACCUCUUCUCUCUUCAACACCUUUGAAAAUGUCUGGCCCCUCCGACCGUCGUUUUGACUUGAACCUUGUUGAAGAGGCAGCCCCGCCUUCUCCAGACAACAUAUGGCGCCCAUCCUUCGUUUCCCCAACUGGUCCUCUUACCGUUGGGGAUUCCGUGAUGAAGAAUGAUAUGACCGCUGCGGUGGUGGCCAGGAACCUUCCUCACUCCCAAAGAUAACAGACUACUUUCCAAACGGUCUGAUGAGUUAGCUGUUAAGGAUUCGCUGGCUCUCAGUGUUCAGUGUGCAGGUUCUGUGUCUAAUAUGGCACAACGCCUAUUUGCUCGAACCCGCCAAGUUGAAUCAUUGGCGGCUGAAGUGAUGAGUCUCAAACAGGAGAUUAGAGGGCUCAAGCAUGAGAAUAAACAGUUGCACCGGCUCGCACAUGACUAUGCUACAAACAUGAAGAUGAAGCUUGACCAGAUGAAGGAAACUGAUGGUCAGGUUUUACUUGAUCAUCAGAGAUUUGUGGGUUUGUUCCAAAGGCAUUUAUUGCCUUCGUCUUCUGGGGCUGUACCGCGUAAUGAAGCUCCAAAUGAUCAACCUCUGAUGCCUCCUCCUUCUAGGGUUCUGUCCAGUACUGAGGCUCCAAAUGAUCCCCUCCGGUGCCUUCUCUUUCUGGGGCUCUACCGACUGCUGAGACUUCUCCUAAGCAACCUUUGUGAAGGCUCCCUCUUGUGUGUUUAUUUUGACUCAUGUAUAUGUACAUAUUUGUAGCUUAUCGGGGAUAUCAAUAAAUAAGCUUUCCUUCAUUUCAACGUAUUGUGUUAAAUACACCAAAGCCUUCUUCGCUAAGUUCUUUGAAUUUUCUUUUGUUGAAGCUUGUAUGUUGAAGCUUUCUGAGUGGAGCAUGUAGGUUGGGGUAGUGUUCCCUUAAUUUCCCGAGUGAGGAAAACUUCUUGGUUUGAGACUUGGAAAAUCCAAGUCACUGAGUGGGAUCGGCUAUAUGAAUCUUAGAACGCCAUUGUGCUCGAUCCUGUGUCAUGUCCUUCGUUAGAUCCAAGUACUCUAAGUCUUUUUCUUAGAGUCUCUUCCAAAGUUUUCCUAGGUCUUCCUCUACCCCCUUCGGCCCUGAACCUCUGUCCCAUAGUCGCAUCUUCUAAUCGGAGCGUCAGUAGGCCUUCUUUGCACAUGUCCAAACCACCGUAACCGAUUUUCUCUCAUCUUUCCUUCAAUUUCGGCUACUCCUACUUUACCCCGGAUAUCCUCAUUCCUAAUCUUAUCCUUUCUCGUGUGCCCACACAUCCAACGAAGCAUCCUCAUCUCCGCUACACCCAUUUUGUGUACGUGUUGAUGUUUCACCGCCCAACAUUCUGUGCCAUACAGCAUUGCCGGCCUUAUUGCCGUCCUAUAAAAUUUUUCCUUGAGCUUCAAUGGCAUACGGCGGUCACACAACACGCCGGAUGCACUCUUCCACUUC